rnacentral:rRNA from 1 species
UACGUAGGGGGCAAGCGUUGUCCGGAAUCAUUGGGCGUAAAGAGCGUGUAGGCGGCCUCGUAAGUCCGCUGUGAAAGUCCAGGGCUCAACCCUGGGAUGCCGGUGGAUACUGCGAGGCUAGAGUCCGGAAGGGGCGAGUGGAAUUCCUGGUGUAGCGGUGAAAUGCGCAGAUAUCAGGAGGAACACCAAUGGCGAAGGCAGCUCGCUGGGACGGUACUGACGCUGAGACGCGAAAGCGUGGGGAGCAAACAGG